rnacentral:lncRNA from 1 species
ACGGGGCGACAUGGCCCUAGGGGACACACAGACUUGACGUCAUAAUGCACAAGGCAGGUCACAGAGCUCGAGGGACCUGGGCAGGGGCCGCUUGGCAUUUCUGCACUGGAAUCCUGUGAGACAAGGGUGGUGGCCGCUCUGGAGGUGCCUGGGGCGGUCCCCUCAAGGCCCUUCCGGGCUUACUCCGUCUUCCACACUGUUGAGCAGCUUUCCUACCUCAUGGCAGAGGAUAAACACUGUGGUCACAUCCAGGCAGACCCGGCCCAGGCCCCGCAUCCGGGUCUCGAUCCCGUGCAGUGGAGCGUUUCCCAAGACACUGGCUGCGCCUGCAAUGGCUCCGAAGGCCCCAGCGACCAGCGGGUUCAUGGGCUUGCUGGGGUUGUCCCCUCGGUACCA